UACGUAGGUGGCGAGCGUUGUCCGGAUUUACUAGGCGUAAAGAGCGCGCAGGCGGCUGGUCAAGUCCGAUGUGAAAGCUCCCGGCUUAACUGGGAAAUUGCAUCGGAAACUGAUCGGCUGGAAGGUGGGAGAGGGUAGCGGAAUUCCCGGUGUAGUGGUGAAAUGCGUAGAUAUCGGGAGGAACACCAGUGGCGAAAGCGGCUACCUGGCCCAUUCUUGACGCUGAGGCGCGAAAGCUAGGGGAGCAAACGGG
rnacentral:rRNA from 1 species